rnacentral:rRNA from 1 species
UCAGAUUGAACGCUGGCGGCAGGCCUAACACAUGCAAGUCGAACGGAAACAUGUCUAGCUUGCUAGAUGAUGUCGAGUGGCGGACGGGUGAGUAAUGCCUGGGAAUUUGCCUUUGUGUGGGGGAUAACUAUUGGAAACGAUAGCUAAUACCGCAUAAUACCUACGGGUCAAAGGGGGCUUCGGCUCCCGCGCAAAGAGAAGCCCAGGUGAGAUUAGCUUGUUGGUGAGGUAAAGGCUCACCAAGGCGACGAUCUC